rnacentral:rRNA from 1 species
AGAUAGCGUAACAGCUCACUGGUCUAAAUAAGGGGUUCCGCGCCGAAAAUGUACCGGGGCUCAAGCCAUACACCGAAACUGCGGGUGCAUCUUAUGAUGCGCGGUAGCGGAGCGUUCUGUAAGUCUGCGAAGGGGGACCCGUGAGGGCUCCUGGAGAUAUCAGAAGUGCGAAUGCUGACGUGAGUAACGAUAAUGGGGGUGAAAAACCUCCACGCCGAAAGACCGA